GUUCUCUGAAAGUGAAAAUGAAUCGGCAUGACGUCAUCCCCCGUGAUGACUGUGUGUACCUGAACGAGAGAAGUUAGACAGGAAGCUUUGUGCCCCGGAACAUAACUUUUAUAGAUUGUUGGCAUUUCGAUAAACUGAUAAUCAAUA
ensembl:ncRNA C10F3.15 ncRNA